ensembl:snRNA U6 U6 spliceosomal RNA
GUGCUCGCUUUGGCAGCACAGAUACUAAAAUUGAAACAAUACAGAGAAGAUUAGCAUAGCUCCUGUGUAAGGAUGACAUGUAAAUUCGUGAAGUAAAUCCGUAUUUU